rnacentral:rRNA from 1 species
CCUACGGGCGGCAGCAGUGGGGAAUAUUGCGCAAUGGGGGAAACCCUGACGCAGCAACGCCGCGUGCGGGAUGACGGCCUUCGGGUUGUAAACCUCUUUUGUCGGAGAACAAAACCCGGGACGUGUCCCGGACUGCGUUUAUCCGAAGAAAAAGCAUCGGCUAACUCCGUGCCAGCAGCCGCGGUAAUACGGAGGAUGCGAGCGUUAUCCGGAUUUAUUGGGUUUAAAGGGUGCGUAGGCGGAAUAUCAAGUCAGCGGUAAAAAUUCGGGGCUCAACCCCGGCGUGCCGUUGAAACUGGUGGUCUUGAGUGGGAGAGAAGUAGGCGGAAUGCGUGGUGUAGCGGUGAAAUGCAUAGAUAUCACGCAGAACUCCGAUCGCGAAGGCAGCAUACCGGCGCCCAACUGACGCUGAAGCACGAAAGCGUGGGUAUCGAACAGGAUUAGAUACCCUAGUAGUC